UAAGGAAUAUUGGUCAAUGGACGCAAGUCUGAACCAGCCAUGCCGCGUGAAGGAUGAAGGUCCUCUGGAUUGUAAACUUCUUUUAUCUGGGACGAAAACGGGAUUUUUAUCUCAAUUGACGGUACCAGAGGAAUAAGCACCGGCUAACUCCGUGCCAGCAGCCGCGGUAAUACGGAGGGUGCGAGCGUUAUCCGGAUUUACUGGGUUUAAAGGGUGCGUAGGUGGGCUUAUAAGUCAGUGGUGAAAUCUCCGAGCUUAACUUGGAAACUGCCGUUGAUACUAUAGGUCUUGAAUUAUCUGGAGGUAAGCGGAAUAUGUCAUGUAGCGGUGAAAUGCUUAGAUAUGACAUAGAACACCAAUUGCGAAGGCAGCUUACUACAUAUAAAUUGACGCUGAGGCACGAAAGCGUGGGUAGCGAACA
rnacentral:rRNA from 1 species